UUCAAAAGAUAUCCAGACAUGACCCAUAUUAUAUUAGGGUUUUAAUCUGCAUCGCCCCUAUCGAGCUCUCUCCUCCUUCCUCGCUCUUCGUCUCCUGCAAACUCAGACCCCCAUCUUUGUAACGUCUCCCGUUUCUGUAAUUCAUCUAUUUUAACCUCAUCAUUUACUUCAAACCCACUACUCAUCCCACUCUCUCUGAAUUAAACAGCUUCAUUAUCAUCAAAGGUUAUCGCUUGAAGCUCUUCUCUAUAAAUCGGUUCCUUCCCUGCGAUGAAUAGCUGCAGUUCUACGAAAUCCCUAAGUAAAAACUUCAUCAAGCUUCGAUUCCAGCAAUGGCUUCUUCCUACACGAUUCAUGAGAUCGGUCUGUGUUUGGUUCGACUUCUCCGGUUUGAGAGGCUCGGGAUGUCAGGAGAGAUGGCGAACUGAUGAGUAGCGACAUUCUUUUCCUGGAUGAGAAGGGCGGUUAUUCCUCAAUGGGACUUUUGGAACCGACAUCUACUUCGACACUGAGACGGAUGCGGAAAAGGAGCACUAUGCAAAGUUGUUUGGAGAUGGCUCAAACCAGACAGCCUCUUCAUCAAAACUGAUUCAUGCUCAGAAGAUAGACCCCUCACUGUCUCUGAGCUUAACCAAUCUGUCUUAACAGCUGAUCCUCAGAUAAUCGAGUUCCUCUGUACUGCUAAAGUAAUACAGUCUGAAAAAGGGGGUGUUAUAUUGGCAGCAGUGGAUGUUCUCAGAAGGUUGUGAAGGAGAUUUCUUCUUUCACGUGCUUUUUUUUUUGUGAUAACACAAGCGCUAUGGCUUCCCCCAGGUACCAUGUGGAACUAUCUGCAGCAGAUCAGACAGAUGAUGCUCUAUUUGUUGCUUUUGAUAUGGAAAUGCUUAAGUUGACCAACAUUCAAACUUGAAGAGCAUCCCAAGACUCAGCGUGCACCACUCCCAGACUUUGUAGGCGAUGGUGAUCAACAUGAGCAAGUCCAGAAUCCAAUAGCAAGUAUGGUCCCUGCUGGUAACAGUAGCACUGUUGUUGAGAUCGUUGAUAAUUUGGCAGCGAAACUUGGUGAAACUACAGAUGUGAACCAUCAAACUCCCUCAUCUACUGUACCAGAAGGGGGGCGUCCAGCAUCAAGCACACCACCUGUUGAUCGAUAUGAGAGUGAAAAGAAGAAGCUACGGUUGGCAUAGAGCCACCUGAGAGUUACAACCCACCAAUACAUUUACUUAUGUAUUGAUGUCGUUCUUUUGCAUUUGCUUUUCGUCUAGAGUUUUUGCAACUUCGUGUUUUUUUAAAUAAAACUAUGUGGUGGUGUUUUACUUAUUAAUGCAAGUUUUUCUCUUUAUUACCUUCUAGGUUCUAAUUAAUUGACAACACAUAUUAUGCUUGAAAAAUGAAGUCCGCUGCAUGACUCAAUGUAUUUCAUUAGUUAAAUUAAAAUUAUAAGAAUAUUCAUCAGAAACUAUUUAUAUAACAGGCUACCAACAAGAUCAAAUACCUAUAUUACAGUCAGGAACGAGACACUUUCUUUCUUAAAAAAACAAACAUUGCCUCAUACAUAUACAUGAACCCUCCACGUAUAAAUUCCUACCUAUUAUGACAGAGUUAACUUAAAGAAACUCUAACUAACGUACAUGUUAACUUACAGAUAUUUUCUUAUAAUACCUUGAAUUAAAGCCGGCUUUAUUGGGUCAAUAUAACACAUUCGUGGGGACUGACAUUCAAUGCAACAAUUAAACAUGUUCAGACGUUUCUGCAAGGUCAAGUAGUUUUAGCUUCACAAAAAGAAGUUCUAAACUCAUACUCUGUCUACUCUAUCAAAAAACCAGAGCUAUAUUCAUGGUGAGGAAGAAAGCUAAAGCUGAAGGCAAAACCGGAAAUGGUGGAUCUCAAGAAAACCAACCUAUACCUCAAGUGUCCACUUCAGCUACCAAUAAACCAAAGAAAAAACAAGUUUGUUGUAUCCAAAAUAAGAUAGAAGGAAUUUGACGAAAAGUUUACAUCGGUUGUUUAACUUAUAUUCCUCCCUAUGUAGCGUAUGACCAGCGUCAUCCAUGACGACGCUGAGAAUUUUCCACUCAUAGUUGAGAAUACAAAUUCAGAGGAAGCAUCCAGAGGUUAUAUUUAUUUUAGGAUCCACCUAACGCACAGUUUACUAUUACAAAUUAUAAAAACCAAUAACCUGCUUUACUCAUGCUGCUUAAGAAUCAGAACACAUGAUCAGUUGGAAGGAAAGCUCGGCAAGAACGUCAACUUAUCCCCGCAGAAAAGCGUGGAGAGCAACCAAAACAAGGUAUGUUCCAGUAAAUUACUUUACACUUUGAAAAGGUCUUACGUGCUCGACUAAACCAGAGCAGUCCAUGGCUGUCCUCUAACUUGCCAAAUCAGAACAUUCUGAUUGGAUUUCCUUCUCAUGAUACUUAUCUUAAACAAGUGAACGAAGCAAAAGUCCAAGCUCUCGGGCGAAAAGUAGAGCUGCAAAGAAAGGGACCAACCCUAAUAAAACAGUUGCAUCUUCAAGUGCAAACACUCAAGGGAAGCUCAGACGCACACCUGUAUAUAAGUGGGAUUUAACAAUGAUCUACUAUUUACUCUUCUGGAUUACGGCGCAAGAAACACAGAUCAUACACGAUCUUGGAAUAGAAAAAAAAUGUUAGUAAACCCAACCUACUAACUGUCAAAAUAAAGGAAACCAGUAGACAAAAAAAGAUAUAGUAGAGGGGAGGUUUCUUUGCUCCCUAGAUAAAAAGUCCAAUUUUGCACACAAAGUACGCACCAAUGCAGCCGCUGGACGAGAUACCUUAGUAUGCAGCCUUGAGUUUCUUUCCCUCCAAACCAAAUAAAGAGAAGCUUGGAAUGCUAGCUUGAGGAUUAGAUUGACAUUCCUAUCACAAGUUGGGUCGUUAAUCCAUCAUAAACCAUUAGGAAAGAUCGAGGGUGGUGUGAGAUGGAGUUUAGAGCAAAACAAAGACCAAACCUCCCUGCUAAAAGCACAAUCGAAGAAAAUAUGUUGACGAUUUUCGUCCAAUGUGCCGUAGAGGAGACAUGCCGGAGAGACGUCUAUACCCGAGCACCUCAUCCUAUCUCGAGUUGGUAAUCUGUCAUGAGCUACCAGCCAUGUUAUGAAGGCAUGUUUAGGAAUCCUACCCUUGAACCACACUGAUUUAUGCCAUGAUACUUCAGUUAAUUGAUUAUAGAGGUGAUUGCACAUGAGCGAUGAAGAAUAAUUGUUAGCCGGAGCGUUAUCUUCCACUUUCCAUAAGAAGAAACCGUCACUCUCUAAUGCAACGAUCUCUGAAGGAUUAGGCAAAUUGUCCUUGAGAAAACCAAUAAUCACAUUCCUAGACCGUGACGAAUACAGCCACCAUCGAUUGUCAACAAUAGCAUCUCGAAACACUACUGAUUCUGAUAAUUCGGUUGUCCUCGGGCCAAACUCUCCAGUCAUGUUAAUCAACGGUCCCAGCGAGGUCCAAUUAUUAAACCAGAAGCUCGCAGAAAUACCAGUACCCAAAUCACAGACCACAAAGGGACGAGCUAACGAUCUAAGUUUGCACAAAGAUUUCCAUAUCCAACUUCCGGAUCUAAUGGGAUCAAGAAUCCAGAAAUUUUCAUUUCCUAUACAUUAGGGACUGACUCAAUAACCAUUUUAGCCAUUAGGGACUGAUUCGAUAACCCUUUUAGCCAACUUCAGUACAAUAGAACUCAAAAUUUUAGCCAUCGAUGACUUCCAUAUACUCUGAAAAUUAAAAAAAAAAAAACUCAAACAUAAAACUUUUUAAAA